AGGCCCGCCCUGCCCGCAGGCAGCCCAGAAACAGGAAGCGCACGCUGGUCAGGGCGGAAGAGCACCGAGGAAGCUAAGAACUUCGCCUUGUCCGGCCCACAAGGAACCUUCCGCAUAGGCCUCGCGGGUAGAGGCGAGAACCCCUGGGCCCUCGUCAGGACGCAGAAGUCCGUGAACACCAGGAUGGAUCCAGCACCUUGGAGACAAACUCAGGACCUGACCUCCUGUGCACCAUCUGUCUAUGCCCUGCAGCCAAAGACCACCAGGAGCAAAGUUGGUUCUACUGAUUUGUUGCAGUGAGGGAGACUGUGUGCAGGUGAAGACGAGGAGUCACGGACAUCUCAGCACAAGAGACUUAAAAUACAACUUGGACUUGUGUUGAGAAACCCAGGAUUUGGAGACAACAAAGCAGAGCCUGACAGCACUCCCUGAUGAGAGCCAGCCAUCUCCAGACUGCCCAGCCAAAGUUGCAUCUGUGCACCCCUACUGUCAACGUUCCAGCAUGGGCAGUCAA